ACGCUGGCGGCGUGCCUAAUACAUGCAAGUAGAACGCUGAAGCUUGGUGCUUGCACCGAGCGGAUGAGUUGCGAACGGGUGAGUAACGCGUAGGUAACCUGCCUCUUAGCGGGGGAUAACUAUUGGAAACGAUAGCUAAUACCGCAUAAAAGUCGACAUCGCAUGAUGUUGACUUGAAAGGUGCAAUUGCAUCACUAAGAGAUGGACCUGCGUUGUAUUAGCUAGUUGGUGAGGUAACGGCUCACCAAGGCGACGAUACAUAGCCGACCUGAGAGGGUGAUCGGCCACACUGGGACUGAGACACGGCCCAGACUCCUACGGGAGGCAGCAGUAGGGAAUCUUCGGCAAUGGGGGCAACCCUGACCGAGCAACGCCGCGUGAGUGAAGAAGGUUUUCGGAUCGUAAAGCUCUGUUGUAAGAGAAGAACGAGUGUGAGAGUGGAAAGUUCACACUGUGACGGUAACUUACCAGAAAGGGACGGCUAACUACGUGCCAGCAGCCGCGGUAAUACGUAGGUCCCGAGCGUUAUCCGGAUUUAUUGGGCGUAAAGCGAGCGCAGGCGGUUAGAUAAGUCUGAAGUUAAAGGCUGUGGCUUAACCAUAGUACGCUUUGGAAACUGUUUAACUUGAGUGCAGAAGGGGAGAGUGGAAUUCCAUGUGUAGCGGUGAAAUGCGUAGAUAUAUGGAGGAACACCGGUGGCGAAAGCGGCUCUCUGGUCUGUAACUGACGCUGAGGCUCGAAAGCGUGGGGAGCAAACAGGAUUAGAUACCCUGGUAGUCCACGCCGUAAACGAUGAGUGCUAGGUGUUGGGUCCUUUCCGGGACUCAGUGCCGCAGCUAAUGCAUUAAGCACUCCGCCUGGGGAGUACGACCGCAAGGUUGAAACUCAAAGGAAUUGACGGGGGCCCGCACAAGCGGUGG
rnacentral:rRNA from 1 species